GAGGUUGUAGCUCAGUUGGUAGAGCAACGUAAAAUACUUUAUUAAUAUUUUAAUCUGUUCAACAGGUGUGAUCUAUAAAGUUACUUCGCCUAUUAAGCCGUGUGUCGUCGGUUCGAUUCCGAUCAGCCUCC
rnacentral:tRNA from 1 species